AGUCGCUUCCUUUUUGCGUAUGGCACCCCCACUCCCUUUGGCAGCAUCUACUAAUUCGGAACUUAAUUUGAAAGCCAUAUUUCGACCCGGACGCUUUUGGGAUGCUUCUAAUAACCAACGAAUGGCAAGUGCUCUUCCUUGUUUAGAUCCUAUUUCAAUCGGAACUUUCCGCGUCGAUCCUUUUUUAUUACGUCUUGUUUUUACUCCUAUAUUGGGAGUUACUCUAC
rnacentral:rRNA from 1 species